rnacentral:rRNA from 1 species
AACGAACGCUGGCGGCAUGCCUAACACAUGCAAGUCGAACGAGACCUUCGGGUCUAGUGGCGCACGGGUGCGUAACGCGUGGGAACCUGCCCUUAGGUUCGGAAUAACUCCCCGAAAGGGGUGCUAAUACCGGAUAAUGUCUUCGGACCAAAGAUUUAUCGCCUUUGGAUGGGCCCGCGUUGGAUUAGCUAGUUGGUAGGGUAAAAGCAUACCAAGGCGACGAUGCAUAGCUGGUCUGAGAGGAUGAUCAGCCACACUGGGAAUGAGACACGGCCCAGACUCCUACGGGAGGGAGCAGUGGGGAAUAUUGGACAAUGGGCGAAAGCCUGAUCCAGCAAUGCCGCGUGAGUGAUGAAGGCCUUAGGGUUGUAAAGCUCUUUUAACCGGGAUGAUAAUGACAGUACCGGGAGAAUAAGCUCCGGCUAACUCCGUG